rnacentral:tRNA from 1 species
GCCCGGAUAGCUCAGUCGGUAGAGCAGGGGAUUGAAAAUCCCCGUGUCCUUGGUUCGAUUCCGAGAUCCGCUCA